rnacentral:rRNA from 1 species
ACAGUGGACGCGAGCAUCUGUGGCCAAGUUUUUAAGGGCGCACGGUGGAUGCCUUGGCACCAGGAACCGAUGAAGGACGUGGGAGGCCACGAUAGGCCCCGGGGAGCUGUCAACCGAGCUUUGAUCCGGGGGUGUCCGAAUGGGGAAACCCGGCAGUCGUCAUGGGCUGUCACCCGCUGCUGAACACAUAGGCAGUGUGGAGGGAACGAGGGGAAGUGAAACAUCUCAGUACCCUCAGGAAGAGAAAACAACCGUGAUUCCGGGAGUAGUGGCGAGCGAAACUGGAUGAGGCCAAACCGUAUGCGUGUGAUACCCGGCAGGGGUUGCGCAUGCGGGGUUGUGGGAUCUCUCUUUUGCGGUCUGCCGGCCGUGAGACGAGUCAGAAACCGUUGAUGUAGGCGAAGGACAUGCGAAAGGUCCGGCGUAGAGGGUAAGACCCCCGUAGCUGAAACAUUGACGGCUCGUUUGAGAGACACCCAAGUAGCACGGGGCCCGAGAAAUCCCGUGUGAAUCUGGCGGGACCACCCGCUAAGCCUAAAUAUUCCCUGGUGACCGAUAGCGGAUAGUACCGUGAGGGAAUGGUGAAAAGUACCGCGGGAGCGGAGUGAAAUAGUACCUGAAACCGUGUGCCUACAAGCCGUGGGAGCGUCGCGCAUCGAGCUUGCUCGGUGCGUCGUGACUGCGUGCCUUUUGAAGAAUGAGCCUGCGAGUUUGCGGUGUGUUGCGAGGUUAACCCGUGUGGGGAAGCCGUAGCGAAAGCGAGUCCGAAUAGGGCGUUUUAGUAGCACGCUCAAGACCCGAAGCGGAGUGAUCUAGCCAUGGGCAGGUUGAAGCGGAGGUAAGACUUCGUGGAGGACCGAACCCACCAGGGUUGAAAACCUGGGGGAUGACCUGUGGUUAGGGGUGAAAGGCCAAUCAAACUCCGUGAUAGCUGGUUCUCCCCGAAAUGCAUUUAGGUGCAGCGUCGUGUGUUUCUUGCCGGAGGUAGAGCACUGGAUAGGCGAUGGGCCCUACCGGGUUACUGACCUUAGCCAAACUCCGAAUGCCGGUAAGUGAGAGCGCGGCAGUGAGACUGUGGGGGAUAAGCUCCAUGGUCGAGAGGGAAACAGCCCAGAGCAUCGACUAAGGCCCCUAAGCGUACGCUAAGUGGGAAAGGAUGUGGAGUCGCAGAGACAACCAGGAGGUUGGCUUAGAAGCAGCCACCCUUGAAAGAGUGCGUAAUAGCUCACUGGUCAAGUGAUUCCGCGCCGACAAUGUAGCGGGGCUCAAGCGUACCGCCGAAGUCGUGUCAUUCC